GCAGGAUAUUAGAUGCGAAUUGGACAGGUGUGAGAAGUGGGGAUUUCAGUUUCCAGCUGUACCCGAUUCUUCACAUGUGAAGAAAAGGCUCAAUAAAUUUUCUCAAGACAGCACGUACCUGCGAAGAAUUCUACGGAAAUUCAGAGAGACCCCACUGAAACCAACAUGGAUCAAAGAAAACGUGUUGCUGGAUCCAGAAACAGCCCAUCCCCGUUAUGUUGUAUCUGAAGACUGGAAAAGAGUAAGAUGGGGGGUCGUCCGUCAGGAAUUCCCC